CUUGUAAGAAGUCCCGCCUGCCCCGUGACGUUUAACGGCUGCAGUAAUAUAACUGUACAAAGGUAGCGUAAUCACCUGUCUUUUAAUUGAAGACCUGUAUGAAUGGCAUCACGAGGAUUUAACUGUCUCUACUUUUCAAUCAAUGAAAUUGUUUUUCCCGUGCAAAAACGGGAAUAUAUCUAUAAGACGAGAAGACCCUGUGGAGCUUUUUGGUUGGGGCGACCAUGAAGCUUCAAACACGAAUUCUAAUUAACAGAUUCUGACCAGACCCAGGAUUAAUGAACUAAGUUACCCCAGGGAUAACAGCGCAAUUUUCUUCAAGAGCCCCUAUCGACAAGAAAGUUUACGACCUCGAUGUUGGAUCAGGACAYCCCGUUUAGUCGUAAACUUAGUGCCGCCAGGAUACUACGAGCAACUGCUUAAAAACCAAAGGACCUGGCGGUGCUUUACUCCCCCUAGAGGAGCCUGUUUCCUAACCGAUAAUCCCCGUUCUACCUCACCCCUUCUCGUCAGCCUAUAUACCGCCGUCUUCAGUCUACCUUUCAAAGAACAAUAUUAGGCAAAAUAUCAAC
rnacentral:rRNA from 1 species